rnacentral:rRNA from 1 species
AGUGAACGCUGGCGGCAGGCCUAACACAUGCAAGUCGAACGGUAACACGAUAAGGCUUUCUUCUUUGCUGACGCGUGGCGGAGGGGUGAGUGGUGUCUGGGGGACUGCCUGUUGGCGGGGGGGAACUCCUGGAAACGGUUACUAUUACAGCAUAACGUCGCAACACCAGAAAGGGGGACAUUCGCGCCUCUUGCCCUCUUAUGUGCCCCGAUGUCGGAUUAGCUAGUAGGCGGGGUAACGGCACACCAAGGCGACGAUCCCUAGCUGGUCUGAGAGGAUGACCAGCCACACUGGAACUGAGACACGGUCCAGACUCCUACGGGAGGCAGCAGUGGGGAAUAUUGCACAAUGGGCGCAAGCCUGAUGCAGCCAUGCCGCGUGGAUGAAGAAGGCCUUCGGGUUGUAAAGUACUUUCAGCGGGGAGGAAGGGAGGAAAGUUAAUACCUUGGCUCAUUGACGGUACCCGAAGAAGAAGCACCGGCUAACUCCAUG